rnacentral:rRNA from 1 species
CCUACGGGUGGCAGCAGUGAGGAAUAUUGGGCAAUGGACGCAAGUCUGAACCAGCCAUGCCGCGUGCAGGAAGACGGCUCUAUGAGUUUUAAACUGCUUUUGUACAAGGGUAAACCUGAAUACGUGUAUUCAGCUGAAAGUACUGUACGAAUAAGGAUCGGCUAACUCCGUUCCAGCAGCCGCGGUAAUACGGAGGAUCCAAGCGUUAUCCGGAUUUAUUGGGUUUAAAGUGUGCGUAGGCGGAUUGAUAAGUUAGAGGUGAAAUGUCCGAGCUUAACUCGGGAACUGCCUCUAAUACUGUUGAUCUAGAGAGUAGAUGCGGUAGGCGGAAUGUAUGGUGUAGCGGUGAAAUGCUUAGAGAUAAUACAGAACACCGGUUGCGAAGGCAGCUUACUAAUCUAUAUCUGACGUUGAGGCACGAAAGCGUGGGGAGCAAACAGGAUUAGAUACCCGAGUAGUC